rnacentral:rRNA from 1 species
UACGUAGGUGGCAAGCGUUGUCCGGAUUUACUGGGCGUAAGGAGCGCGCAGGCGGUCGUUCAAGUCGCGUGUGAAAGCCCCCGGCUCAACUGGGGAGGGUCACGCGAUACUGAUCGACUCGAAGGCAGGAGAGGGUAGUGGAAUUCCCGGUGUAGUGGUGAAAUGCGUAGAUAUCGGGAGGAACACCAGUGGCGAAGGCGACUACCUGGCCUGUUCUUGACGCUGAGGCGCGAAAGCUAGGGGAGCAAACGGG